rnacentral:rRNA from 1 species
AUUGAACGCUGGCGGAAUGCUUUACACAUGCAAGUCGAGCGGCAGCGCGGGGCAACCUGGCGGCGAGCGGCGAACGGGUGAGUAAUACAUCGGAACGUGCCCAGACGUGGGGGGAUAACUACUCGAAAGAGUGGCUAAUACCGCAUACGAUCUACGGAUGAAAGCGGGGGAUCGCAAGACCUCGCGCGUCUGGAGCGGCUGAUGGCAGAUUAGGUAGUUGGUGGGAUAAAAGCCUACCAAGCCAACGAUCUGUAGCUGGUCUGAGAGGAUGAUCAGCCACACUGGGACUGAGACACGGCCCAGACUCCUACGGGAGGCAGCAGUGGGGAAUUUUGGACAAUGGGCGAAAGCCUGAUCCAGCCAUUCCGCGUGCAGGAUGAAGGCCCUCGGGUUGUAAACUGCUUUGUACAGAACGAAAAAGCUACUGGCUAAUACCUGGAGUCCAUGACGGUACUGUAAGAAUAAGCACCGGCUAACUACGUGCCAG